rnacentral:rRNA from 1 species
AGCAGCCGCGGUAAUUCCAACUCCAAUAGCGUAUAUUAAAGUUGUUGCAGUUAAAAAGCUCGUAGUUGAAUUUCGGGAUCAAUACGUCGGUCGUGCUUCGGUACGUACUGGCGUCAUUGAUUUCUCCCUUCUGACGAACCAUGAUGUCAUUAACUUGGUGUCAUGGGAAAUCAGGACUGUUACUUUGAAAAAAUUAGAGUGUUUAAAGCAGGCUCACGCUUGAAUACAUUAGCAUGGAAUAAUGAAAUAGGACGUUCGAUCCUAUUUUGUUGGUUUUUAGGAUCAACGUAAUGAUUAAUAGGGAUAGUUGGGGCAUUAGUAUUCAAUUGUCAGAGGUGAAAUUCUUGGAUUUAUUGAAAACUAACUACUGCGAAAGCAUUUGCCAAGGAUGUUUUCAUUAAUCAAGAACGAAAGUUAGGGGAUCGAAGACGAUCAGAUACCGUCGUAGUCUUAACCAUAAACUAUGCCGACUAGGGAUCGGAUGAUGUUAAUUUUUUAAUGACUCAUUCGGCGCCUUACG